AUUACAAUGAAAUACACUGAACUUUAGCAAAUUGCAAGGUUCUAGUGUUAGAUGAGUAACUAGAGUUACUCUGGAUGUUUUGUGAGCUUAUCGGCAUUGAACUUAAAGGUUUUAAGUGAUAGAAUAAGCUACUGACACUAAAACCUGGAAAAGCUCAGGUUUGGAUGCUGAGUACCGGUACUGCAUCGCGCGGGUACCGGUACCCUACAUAAAAACCCAGUUGCACAGAGCGCUCGGGUUGUUGCUGUUCUGAGGCUGAGUACCGGUACCUCAACCCGAGUACCAGUACCCAGUGCGGCUGUUUGAGUUUGUGAGAGGUUUUUUUGGUAAUUUGUGCUGUGUGCUUAUCCAUAAAAAGCCCCAGCUCGACCCCAGCAGAUAUUUUCAUGUGCAGGAGCUUGGAGAAAGCAGGGUAAGCUUCCUCUUUUCUCUCUCUAAAUUCUAUUGCUAGUUGAAGUGGAAAUUAGUGGAUUUGAGUUUGUUUCUUUCCCUCUCUUGAUGCUAGCUGGUUUGGAGGGUCUUGGAGCAGCUGUAGAAGUGUGGAAAGAAGAGUUUUGAGAGUGGUUCUUCAACGCUAACUCAGGGAGUAGCUGAGUUGAUGUUUUGGAAAGGUUGGUUUUGGGUGUGCUCCAACCUGAGUUGAAGGGAGGAUUAAGCCUUGGUUCUCUACUAGGUGCUUGGAGGCUAGAGAGCAUCUUCGCUAGCGGGAUCGACAAGAGUUGAUAACGAUUCGGUGGGUUUGACCUUACCGAAAUGGGUGAAUUCCCUCAAUGUCUUCUUUGACAUUAUGAAAUUAGAAUUGUUGUAUAUUCAUGUGGAUGUAUGUGUGAAUGGA